AUAGCAAAGCCCAGCCCAAAGCGCAAGCCACAAAUGUUGUGCUUGUGACGGACGUCACGGAGGGCGUGACGAGCGUCACGCAAAGCAGCCUUGUGACGGACGUCACACAUGGUGUGACGAGCGUCACACCACUACCCUACUUUUUGGGCGCACGUAACGCCUCAGAGACUUGAAGAGACGUUGAGGAGUAUUGGGCCCUAUAUCCACGCCAUGAAAUUAGCCACGUUGAAGAGCUCUUGGCAGCAAGUAGUUACUUAAUGGUACCAAUAUAAAUAGCCACGAAGAAAACCUAGAAAGGGGGGCUUUUUCCACAUUUUUCCUUUGCCGUUUUCACUUUUGCAUAUUUUCUUUUCCAGCAGCUUAGGCAUUGUUUUUCCUACGAGUUCUACACUAUUUUCCUUGCAAUUUCCUAUUUCUUUUUCAGCAUUUAGUUAGUUCUAUUCACACAAUAGUUUCUACAAAGGAAACUAUUGUGUACCUUUUUACCGGAUCCAACCUUACGUUAGGAUCUAGUUUAUUUUCUUCG
rnacentral:lncRNA from 1 species